AAUAAAUACAGUUUUACACUAUUUACGUUCAACGUUUAACCGUUCGUUUUAUUUGAAAUUUUUUUAUGAUUAAUAUUUUUAUUGCUAUUAGAUGAUAAAACAUGAAAAGUACUUUAUGUGUGACUAAAUAUUUUCAAAUUUUUCACAAUUUUUUUAAAUAAGACGGACGGUCAAACGUUGGGCACGGAUAUCCAUGGCUGCACUUAUU
rnacentral:pre_miRNA from 1 species